rnacentral:rRNA from 1 species
AUUGAACGCUAGCGGGAUGCCUUACACAUGCAAGUCGAACGGCAGCGCGGACUUCGGUCUGGCGGCGAGUGGCGAACGGGUGAGUAAUAUAUCGGAACGUGCCUAGUAGCGGGGGAUAACUACUCGAAAGAGUGGCUAAUACCGCAUACGCCCUACGGGGGAAAGGGGGGGAUCGCAAGACCUCUCACUAUUAGAGCGGCCGAUAUCGGAUUAGCUAGUUGGUGGGGUAAAGGCCCACCAAGGCGACGAUCCGUAGCUGGUUUGAGAGGACGACCAGCCACACUGGGACUGAGACACGGCCCAGACUCCUACGGGAGGCAGCAGUGGGGAAUUUUGGACAAUGGGGGAAACCCUGAUCCAGCCAUUCCGCGUGUGCGAUGAAGGCCUUCGGGUUGUAAAGCACUUUUGGCAGGAAAGAAAUCGCACAGAUUAAUACUUUGUGUGGAUGACGGUACCUGCAGAAUAAGCACCGGCUAACUACGUGCCAGCAGCCGCGGUAAUACGUAGGGUGCAAGCGUUAAUCGGAAUUACUGGGCGUAAAGCGUGCGCAGGCGGUUCGGAAAGAGAGGUGUGAAAUCCCAGGGCUUAACCUUGGAACUGCACUUUUAACUCCCGAGCUAGAGUAUGUCAGAGGGGGGUGGAAUUCCGCGUGUAGCAGUGAAAUGCGUAGAUAUGCGGAGGAACACCGAUGGCGAAGGCAGCCCC